ensembl:lncRNA
CACCAGGCUCCUCCAUCCAUGGAAUUUUCCAGGCAAGAAUACUGGAGUGGGUUGCCAGUUCCUUCUGCACAGGAAAACAGUGGGCAGAUUCAAAGCCCUGGAGGGGCGAGGGUGGGGCUGGGGAGCGGGUAAGCAAAGGUUCAGCAAGAAGUCUGUGCCCCUUGCCACACCCCUGCCCAUCAGCUGAACUGACUGCCAGGGAGAAGCUUCUGGUCAAAAGGGCAGCAGGAAAGCUUUUUCUGGGGUUUUCGACAGCCUCAUUAGCAUAACAGUGACUGACCCUGCUUUGUUCUACAAACGCCACUCCCAUGACACACAGGGAAGAGGCUCAGUUAACCAGUUCCUAAUAACCAAAUCCACAGCCAGCGCGGAAUUCCUCCCGGAACCUGGGACCUUUAUAAAGCGGCAAGCGCAGCCUCUUCUCCAGCAUCAGCUGCAGAGCUCGUGACGCCAACAUGAGGCUCCAUCACCUGCUCCUCGUGCUCUUCUUCGUGGUCCUGUCUGCUGGGUCAGGAUUUACUCAAGGAGUAAGAAAUCGUCUAAGCUGCCAUAGGAAUAAAGGCGUCUGUGUGCCGAGCAGGUGCCCUAGACACAUGAGACAGAUUGGCACCUGUCGCGGGCCCCCAGUAAAAUGCUGCAGAAAGAAGUAACAGAAGGCGAAGACGCGGCCAGGACCGAUGUGGAGUCAGAAACUGCGCCCUUAGACAGAGCAUCUAAAAUUUAAACCAGAAUAAAUUUUGUUCAAAGUUAAAGAAUCUUGCCCACUGGUCAUUGAGGUUGUUGUGUGGUGUCUGAUCCCAGGUGAAUUCCAAAAUCCCUGAAGAUGCUCUCUGAGCUCCCCACGGGAACCGCUGGGGAAUUAUGAUGGGGUGCUCUGUGCUCCCAGAGGUGUGGCCCCCUGUUCCAUGGGGGCCUACCUUCCCCAGCCCCUCUGCCUGUUGUCCUUCCUGCUUCCCGGCCCAGGGCACCCUGACCUGCCCUGUGUCUCCCCUCAAACAUACACCCCAGGGGUCCAGAAUCACCAGCACACCAGUCCCGUAGGAAACCCCCUGCCCCUGCUCCAAGAGGAAACCCCCCUCCUCUGUCCCCCUGCAGCCCUCACUUCCAUUUGGUUUGUGCUUCUUACUCCUGCCUUGUGCGCUCGUGGAUACCCUUCUGAUUCCCUUUUGGGCUAUAAGAUCGCUAUAGGCAUGGACUUGCCCUAUUCCUGUAUGUGCUUGGGCGUUGAGAUGACACAUUGCUUCACACAUUGUCAUCAACUGAAUGACAGAGUUGACGUGGACAAAGCAUGCCUCUCUGUGUGGAUAUAUGAUGCAACUAGAUGCUACGGAAAAACAAGUCCUGCGGAAAGCACAGUUCAAUGAAGACAACACAGCAAGGAACACAGAGACCGC